UAACAGUCUAAAAAAGAAAUGAAAGUGUCCACAGGAACCCACUCGAACCCACCGGGUUCAUGCCCCAAAAGGAGAAGAAACGUUUUCCUGGGAGCCUGCUGAUUAUACAAAGGAAAAAGGCAUUUCUAUGUCAGGUGUUGUUCCCUUAUCUGAGUGAGCCAGAGUGAAAUGAAGGUUUUCAGUCCUCAGUAGUGUCUACCUUCAGUCCUGAAAAUUCUGAAUCCUCUCAACUAUAUGAUGUGAAAGAAGAGAGCAUAAAGAAAAACAUUCAACCAUAUCACAACUGCAAAGGAAAAUAAACACAUUCAAC
rnacentral:lncRNA from 1 species